rnacentral:hammerhead_ribozyme from 1 species
GUGCGAAACGGCCCUGCGGGGCCGUCGCCGGAUGAUUUCCGGCCUGACGAGCACAAGCAA